AUUGAACUCUGGCGGCAGGCCUAACAAAUGCAAGUCGAGCGGAGCGGCGGACGGGUGAGUAAUGCCUAGGAAUCUGCCUUGUAGUGGGGGAUAACGUCCGGAAACGGGCGCUAAUCCCGCAUACUAUCAGAUGAGCCUAGGUCGUAUUAGCUAGUUGGUUGGGUAAAGGCCGACCAAGGCGACGAUCCGUAAAUGGUCUGAGAGGAUGAUCAGUCACACUGGAACGGAGACACGGUCCAGACUCCUACGGGAGGCAGCAGUGGGGAAGAUUGGACAAGGGGCGAAAGCCUGAUCCAGCAAUGCCGCGUGUGUGAAGAAGGUCUUCGGAUUGUAAAGCACUUUAAGUUGGGAGGCGUUACCAACAGAAUAAGCACCGGCUAACUUCGUGCCAGCAGCCGCGGUAAUUC
rnacentral:rRNA from 1 species